ACGAACGUUGGCGGCGUGGAUUAGGCAUGCAAGUCGAACGAAGACACCCUGUGUAGCAAUACUUGGGGUGGACUGAGUGGCGAAAGGGGCGGUAAGGCAUGGGUAACCUACCCCGGGGAUGGGCAUAGCCGUUCUAACGGACGGGUAAUUCCCAGCGAUUUGGCGAGGCGGCAUCACCUUGCCAAGAAAUGAGUUUCGCCUCGGGAGGGGCUCAUGUGAUAUUAGCUUGUUGGCGGGGUAACGGCCCACCAAGGCUAAGAUGUCUAGCGGGUGUGAGAGCACGACCCGCGCCACUGGCACUGAGACACUGGCCAGACACCUACGGGUGGCUGCAGUCGAGGAUCUUCGGCAAUGGGCGCAAGCCUGACCGAGCGACGCCGCGUGUGCGAUGAAGGCCUUCGGGUUGUAAAGCACUGUCGAGGGGGAGGAAGCCGCAAGGUUGACCUAUCCCUGGAGGAAGCACGGGCUAAGUUCGU
rnacentral:rRNA from 1 species